UGCUCACAUUAGAACUUUCUUCUCUGGG
rnacentral:piRNA from 1 species